GAUGAACGCUGGCAGCGUGCCUAAUACAUGCAAGUCGAGCGAACAGACGAGGAGCUUGCUCCUCUGACGUUAGCGGCGGACGGGUGAGUAACACGUGGAUAACCUACCUAUAAGACUGGGAUAACUUCGGGAAACCGGAGCUAAUACCGGAUAAUAUAUUGAACCGCAUGGUUCAAUAGUGAAAGACGGUUUUGCUGUCACUUAUAGAUGGAUCCGCGCCGCAUUAGCUAGUUGGUAAGGUAACGGCUUACCAAGGCGACGAUGCGUAGCCGACCUGAGAGGGUGAUCGGCCACACUGGAACUGAGACACGGUCCAGACUCCUACGGGAGGCAGCAGUAGGGAAUCUUCCGCAAUGGGCGAAAGCCUGACGGAGCAACGCCGCGUGAGUGAUGAAGGUCUUCGGAUCGUAAAACUCUGUUAUUAGGGAAGAACAAAUGUGUAAGUAACUAUACACGUCUUGACGGUACCUAAUCAGAAAGCCACGGCUAACUACGUG
rnacentral:rRNA from 1 species